UGGGGAAUUUUUCGUCAAUGGGCGAAAGCCUGACGGAGCAAUGCCGCGUGGAGGUGGAAGGCCUACGGGUCGUCAACUUCUUUUCUCGGAGAAGAAACAAUGACGGUAUCUGAGGAAUAAGCAUCGGCUAACUCUGUGCCAG
rnacentral:rRNA from 1 species